rnacentral:rRNA from 1 species
CCCUUAGAUGUUCUGGGCCGCACGCGCGCUACACUGAUGCAUUCAACGAGUUUCUUCCUGGUCCGAGAGGAAUGGGUAACCUUUUGAAAGUGCAUCGUGAUAGGGAUAGACUAUUGCAAUUAUUGGUCUUCAACGAGGAAUUCCUAGUAGACGUAGUUCAUCAGACUGCAUCGAUUACGUCCCUGCCCUUUGUACACACCGCCCGUCGCUCCUACCGAUUGAAUGGUCCGGUGAAGCGUUUGGACUAUGGUUUUCUGAUGGUCCGCCGUUGGAUUACCGUGGGAAGUUCGUUAAACCUUAUCAUUUAGGGGAAGGAGAAGUCGUAACA